CCCUUAGAUGUUCUGGGCCGCACGCGCGCUACACUGACGAUGGCAACGAGUUUUUUCUUCGCCGAAAGGUGUGGGUAAUCUUUUGAAACAUCGUCGUGCUGGGGAUAGAUCAUUGCAAUUUUUGAUCUUGAACGAGGAAUUCCUAGUAAGCGCGAGUCAUCAGCUCGCGUUGAUUACGUCCCUGCCCUUUGUACACACCGCCCGUCGCUACUACCGAUUGAAUGGUUUAGUGAGGACUCCUGAUUGGCGCCGCCGCCCCGGCAACGGAGCAGCGGACUGCCGAAAAGUUGUUCAAACUUGAUCAUUUAGAGGAAGUAAAAGUCGUAACA
rnacentral:rRNA from 1 species